rnacentral:rRNA from 1 species
UGGGAACCCUCCCUAUGGUUCGGAAUAGCUCAGGGAAACUUGGGGUAAUACCGAAUAAGCCCUUCGGGGAAAGAUUUAUCGCCAUUGGAUGGGCCCGCGUCGGAUUAGCUAGUUGGUGGGGUAACGGCCCACCAAGGCAACGAUCCGUAGCUGGUCUGAGAGGAUGAUCAGCCACACUGGGACUGAGACACGGCCCAGACUCCUACGGGAGGCAG